GAGUUUGAUCCUGGCUCAGAGCGAACGUUGGCAGUGUGUCUUAAGCAUGCAAGUCGAACGGCAGCAGGCCAUAUAGCAAUAUAUGGUGCUGGCGAGUGGCGAACCGGUGAGUAACGCGUAAGAAUCUACCCUCUGGUGGAGGAUAACUCAUGGAAACAUGAGCUAAUACCGCAUGAAGCCGAACCCAUAGUGAUAUGAGCUUGGUAAAAGGAGAAAUCCGCCAGUGGAUGAGCUUGCGUCCCAUUAGCUAGUUGGUAGGGUAAGAGCCUACCAAGGCGAUGAUGGGUAGCUGGCCUGAGAGGGUGGUCAGCCACACUGGGACUGAGAUACGGCCCAGACUCCUACGGGAGGCAGCAGCUAAGAAUCUUCCUCAAUGGGGGAAACCCUGAAGGAGCGACACUGCGUGCAGGAUGAAGGCCCUUUGGGUUGUAAACUGCUUUUGUAGGGGAGAAAUAACCGAAUGGGAUGAUAGUACCCUACGAAUAAGUCCCGGCUAACUACGUGCCAGCAGCCGCGGUAAAACGUAAGGGGCGAACGUUGCUCGGAAUUACUGGGCGUAAAGGGCCGGUAGGUGGCUUUAUAAGUCAGUUGUCAAAUACCCAUGCUCAACGUGNGAGAGGCGACUGAUACUGUAGAGCUUGAGUAGAGGAGGGGAUGACGGAAUACCCGGUGUANGGGGUGAAUCUGUUGAUAUCGGGUAGAACACCGAUGGCGAAAGCGGUCAUCUAGCCUCAUACUGACACUUCACGGCGAAAAGCCAGGGGAGCGAACGGGAUUAGAUACCCCGGUAGUCCUGGCCCAUAACGAUGCAUGCUA
rnacentral:rRNA from 1 species